GAUGAACGCUGGCGGCGUGCCUAAUACAUGCAAGUCGAGCGAACAGACGAGGAGCUUGCUCCUCUGACGUUAGCGGCGGACGGGUGAGUAACACGUGGAUAACCUACCUAUAAGACUGGGAUAACUUUGGGAAACCGGAGCUAAUACCGGAUAAUAUAUUGAACCGCAUGGUUCAAUAGUGAAAGACGGUUUUGCUGUCUCUUAUAGAUGGAUCCGCGCCGCAUUAGCUAGUUGGUAAGGUAACGGCUUACCAAGGCAACGAUGCGUAGCCGACCUGAGAGGGUGAUCGGCCACACGGGAAGUGAGACACGGUCCAGACUCCGACGGGAGGCAGCAGUAGGGAAUCUUCCGCAAUGGGCGAAAGCAUGACGGAGCAACGCCGCGUGAGUGAUGAAGGUCUUCGGAUCGUAAAACUCUGUUAUUAGGGAAGAACAAAUGUGUAAGUAACUAUGCACGUAUUGACGGUACCUAAUCAGAAAGCCACGGCUAACUACGUG
rnacentral:rRNA from 1 species